CGGCCGCAUCACGUUGAAAAACCGGUUCCCGUACGAUCAUCGAAGUUAAGCAUCGUCGAGGCCGGUCAGUACAUAGAGGGGCGACAGCUUAGGAAUAGCAGGUGCUAUAA